AACGAACGCUGGCGGCAUGCCUAACACAUGCAAGUCGAACGAGACCUUCGGGUCUAGUGGCGCACGGGUGCGUAACGCGGGGGAACCUGCCCGUAGGUUCGGAAUAACUCCCAGAAAGGGGUGCUAAUACCGGAUAAUGUCUUCGGACCAAAGAUUUAUCGCCUUUGGAUGGGCCCGCGUUGGAUUAGCUAGUUGGUAGGGUAAAAGCCUACCAAGGCGACGAUCCAUAGCUGGUCUGAGAAGAUGAUCAGCCACACUGGGACUGAGACACGGCCCAGACUCCUACGGGAGGCAGCAGUGGGGAAUAUUGGACAAUGGGCGAAAGCCUGAUCCAGCAAUGCCGCGUGAGUGAUGAAGGCCUUAGGGUUGUAAAGCUCUUUUACCCGGGAUGAUAAUGACAGUACCGGGAGAAUAAGCUCCGGCUAACUCCGUG
rnacentral:rRNA from 1 species